rnacentral:rRNA from 1 species
UAGGGAAUCUUCCGCAAUGGGCGAAAGCCUGACGGAGCAACGCCGCGUGAGUGAUGAAGGUCUUCGGAUCGUAAAACUCUGUUAUUAGGGAAGAACAAAUGUGUAAGUAACUAUGCACGUCUUGACGGUACCUAAUCAGAAAGCCACGGCUAACUACGUGCCAGCAGCCGCGGUAAUACGUAGGUGGCAAGCGUUAUCCGGAAUUAUUGGGCGUAAAGCGCGCGUAGGCGGUUUUUUAAGUCUGAUGUGAAAGCCCACGGCUCAACCGUGGAGGGUCAGUGGAAACUAGAAGACUUGAGUACAGAAGAGGAAAGUGGAAUUCCAUGUGUAGCGGUGAAAUGCGCAGAGAUAUGGAGGAACACCAGUGGCGAAGGCGACUUUCUGGUCUGUAACUGACGCUGAUGUGCGAAAGCGGGGGGAUCAAACAGG